GUGAGUCAUCGAAUCUUUGAACGCACAUUGCGCCCGCCAGCAUUCUGGCGGGCAUGCCUGUUCGAGCGUCAUUUCAACCCUCGAGCUCCCCUUGGGGAGCCCGGCGUUGGGGACCGGCCUCUACCGCCGACCCCGAAAUACAGUGGCGGCCCCGUCACGGCGACCUCUGCGUAGUAAUUUAACCUCGCACCGGGAACCCGACGCGGCCACGCCGUAAAACAACCCACUUCUGAACGUUGACCUCGGAUCAGGUAGGAAUACCCGCUGAACUUAAGCAUAUCAAUAAGCGGAGGA
rnacentral:misc_RNA from 1 species